GCAAGUACCACCACUAAGCUACAAUCCCAGUCUCCUACACAUAAUUUCUCUUAAUAAUGCUGUGUAUCAUUUGAAAAAUAUUUUUUCCUAUUGCAAGUGGAUGAUAAGGUGUCCCCUAAGAUUUCAAGCUCAAGACAUGACUCUGAUGAAGCUGGCAGCAAAAUAAAUACAUGUAUCAGUUCUACUACUUCUCCCAAGAAAGAUACUGGUGUGCAAACAGAUGACUUAAUUACAAGAAAUUUCACUAACACAUUAUCACACUGUGGAUCAGUGAGAGAAAGGGAAAAUACACCUUGUUCUUCUCCCCAGAGUUCUGUAGAAUUUCAUGGACAGCUUAACACUAAGAAAGACAAGCAAGAACUAAAUCAGGAUAGAGUAGGCAACUUAGAAAAA